rnacentral:sRNA from 1 species
AUGCGCAGACUCAGUUCCUGGAGAAAGAUGGCGACAGCCGAGAAGCAGAAACACGACGGGCGGGUGAAGAUCGGCCACUACAUUCUGGGUGACACGCUGGGGGUUGGCACCUUCGGCAAAGUGAAGGUUGGCAAACAUGAAUUGACUGGGCAUAAAGUAGCUGUGAAGAUACUCAAUCGACAGAAGAUUCGGAGCCUUGAUGUGGUAGGAAAAAUCCGCAGAGAAAUUCAGAACCUCAAGCUUUUCAGGCAUCCUCAUAUAAUUAAACUGUACCAGGUCAUCAGUACACCAUCUGAUAUUUUCAUGGUGAUGGAAUAUGUCUCAGGAGGAGAGCUAUUUGAUUAUAUCUGUAAGAAUGGAAGGCUGGAUGAAAAAGAAAGUCGGCGUCUGUUCCAACAGAUCCUUUCUGGUGUGGAUUAUUGUCACAGGCAUAUGGUGGUCCAUAGAGAUUUGAAACCUGAAAAUGUCCUGCUUGAUGCACACAUGAAUGCAAAGAUAGCUGAUUUUGAUUGUAUGCAGGCCCAGAGGUAGAUAUAUGGAGCAGUGGGGUUAUUCUCUAUGCUUUAUUAUGUGGAACCCUUCCAUUUGAUGAUGACCAUGUGCCAACUCUUUUUAAGAAGAUAUGUGAUGGGAUCUUCUAUACCCCUCAAUAUUUAAAUCCUUCUGUGAUUAGCCUUUUGAAACAUAUGCUG